rnacentral:rRNA from 1 species
AACGAACGCUGGCGGCAUGCCUAACACAUGCCAGUCGAACGAGACCUUCGGGUCUAGUGGCGCACGGGUGCGUAACGCGUGGGAACCUGCCCUUAGGUUCGGAAUAACUCCCCGAAAGGGGUGCUAAUACCGGAUAAUGUCUUCGGACCAAAGAUUUAUCGCCUUUGGAUGGGCCCGCGUUGGAUUAGCUAGUUGGUAGGGUAAAAGCCUACCAAGGCGACGAUCCAUAGCUGGUCUGAGAGGAUGAUCAGCCACACUGGGACUGAGACACGGCCCAGACUCCUACGGGAGGCAGCAGUGGGGAAUAUUGGACAAUGGGCGAAAGCCUGAUCCAGCAAUGCCGCGUGAGUGAUAAAGGCCUUAGGGUUGUAAAGCUCUUUUACCCGGGAUGAUAAUGACAGUACCGGGAGAAUAAGCUCCGGCUAACUCCGUG